CGUUGUAAUCCGUUUUUCUCUCCCUUCCCCGAAAGCAUGGCUUCGGCGAAUGGGCUGGAAGACGACCUCAUCGAUUUGGAAUUGGACAACACUCGAGAUGAGAAGAUUUUGAUCGACUUGACAAUCGAAGUCCCAAAUUCGUCCCAAAAACCUGUAAUGCCAAGUGGAGUCUGCCUCACACAACAAAAGAUGGAAGAAACUUUAUGGUCCCACGCACUUUCCAUUCCUGUCUAAAAUGGGAGUGCGUGGGAUCUACCUUUCCCGAAGAUAGCACCAUAAGAAAACCUCCCGUUGGUUUAAAGUGGACCCAAAUGCAGAGUUCUCUCCAGAUGAGUGGCAGGUGAUAACGUUCUUGGACUUCCCAUUGUUGUAAGACUAAACGGGAUACCACCUACUUCAAAAUUGCGCUUCAAGUGCCUCGUAUUCUUGGCAGUUUGUUCGAUGACAUAAGUUAUUAUGAUACGUUAAUGUUUCGUGACUUUGUCUUCGCCAUAAAAGCGUUGACUGUAUUUAUCCACUUCAGUAUUUUUGCUCCUUGUUUACAUUCGUUAUUCGUUUGUGAAGGUUAUGAAAUGGUAGCAGCACAAGAGUAAGCGAAGUACCAUGAUUUUGACCAUAUGGACUGUGUGGACUUUUUUGCGGAAUCCAUUUUACUGUUCAAGUUAUAUACACAAUGUUACUGAAGUAUGUCAUUAUUUAUAUUAUACAGUCGUUUUUGUUCAUUAUUUACAUACGUUAUUCGUUUGUUAAGGUUAUGAAAUAGUGGCAGCACAAGAGUAAGUGAAAAACAAUGUAUGGCUAAUGAUUUUUGACCAUAUAUACUGUGGACUUUUCAUAGGAAUGCAUGUUACUUUUCAAGUAUACUCCUUAGGCAUAUAACUAUUUAUAUCAGUCUUGAAUAAACAAGAAGAAAGAAGAAGACAAAAGGGAUAUGUAUUUUUUUUAUCAAAAUAUUUUGGCAAAUGACUGUUUAUUUUUAUAUUAUGAGGGCUUUAUGAGAUUGAUUUUGAA